rnacentral:lncRNA from 1 species
UGGAAGAACACAUCAAAGCUGCAAUCCCAUAACCAAAAGCCUGGCUUUGUGGCAAAUAGCAAAGCUCGCCAUCGAUUCGUAGCUCCUUCUUCUGCAAAAUUGUAAAAUACCCGCGAACCCCUAAGUUGAAAGCGCGUAAAAUUAGCAUGUGGGUGUGAAGCAUACAUGAUUGACAUGAACAUACCUUUGAUUUCUUGAGCUCACAUAUGACGCAAAAAGCAAAAGAAGCAAUGGCAAGGGAGAUGAAGAUGGUGGUGCCAAAAAGAUGAUAGAUUGCUUUGGUUUUGUGUUGUUUUUCCAUUUUAAAGUUGAAAAGAAAAGGAGGGCUGAAGAAGAGCUUGGGGGUUACUCAAAGGAAAAAGUGGUUUGUUAAAAUGAUUCCAUCAAUUCUUUAGUUGGGAGGUUGGGGGUAGGAGGCAGGGGGCUAUUGCUUGGAAGGAAGGUAAGUAUACCUUCCCUGGUUGAAUGUAUUUUCAUGGAUAAUUGAAUCUUUGAAUAUGGUGAGUAAUGGAGUUG